CCAACUAUGAAUGUUUGCCUACUCUGAAGGAAGAAAAGGAGCCAAACCUCAGCCCAAGUGAUAAUGAAUCCUAAGUCCAAGUGGCGUUGACGUUUCCCAAGAGCAUACUCCCCGAGGGCACCUGCAGGGCCCACCAGCGAAGGAUGAAGAGGAGACAAGUUUAAUUAAUUUCAAAUCAGUGUAGACACAAGAACCUUUUAGUGUUUCUUCCACCAUCCCCUCUUCAGAUGAUGGCAUCCCCUGGACUUGGAAGAAUGAGGUACUGAAGUCUUGGAAAGGCCUGGCUGCCCACCAGCCCACGCAUGAUGAAGAAAGAGCCCCAUGUGGUGCUGGCUUCGGACCUGUGGGUGUCCCUCCCCACUGCCUCCUCCUCGCUCAUUCUGGUCACCCUAAGAUCACAGCUCUGGUCUGCUUCAUUCUGAGGGUUUGCUCAGGAAGCUGGUCAUCUUCUGGGUCCAGGUCGCCUUACUGACUACCAGGUUUGGAUAAUAUUUUCUCACUGUUCAUGUCCUCUCAGGUCAACUCUAGUCAUCUGGAACUUUCCUCAAGGACGGUUGGGUUACAGAAAACAGGCCAAACAAAGCGGGCGUUUCAUAGCCACACCAUCCCAGGGACUUGUUAAGCUUGUUUCUCACCUGCUAAGAAAACACAAGGAAGUCCACAGGCCUCAUGGGAGAUCCUUGCACGACUCGUAGACUUGCACCCAGCCACAUCUCAUUCACUUUUGAAAACUUCCAGAAGAAAUAGCAAUCUUUAAAGAGAGAAGCAACUUUUUCCUUCUCCGCUAAAGUCACCUCUACUUGCAACAUCUCAAAGCAGCUGAUCUUGUUUCAAGCCACAGGCCUGGCUUGUGCUGUGCGGGGGCUUGGAAUGCAGGCAGGUGGGGGUCAUGGGAGAUCUUCACGGCUGAGCUAGAAGGACCUGUGCCUGUGGCAGCUCUGGGUCAUGGUGCUUUCUGGUCUGUGUGCUCUACAUCCAGCCUUCUCUGUAGGGCUGGGAAGAGUCUCCAAUGCUUAGCCCUCCAGGAGGUGGCUCCCAGGCCAUCAGAAAUGACAUUCUACAUGAAAUUAGUUGACAUCCAUGUACUAAAAACAAUGGAGUUAAAAAUGCAGAAAAACCCACUAACCUCUCCUCCUUAGUAAAGUCCCAUUUAAUCCUUCGUUUUCUAAUUCUGACCUUUAAAAGGCCAUCCAGCAAAUUGAGUCUCUGGUUCUCGUGGGAUGCUUGGUAUUUUAUUCCAGGAAAGAAACAAAGAAUGAAAAUUUUAUUUUGCUAACCACAUGUAAACUGAGGGGAGAUGAGGUUAACCAAACUUUUUGCUGCUGAAUUGGGGUUCUGUAUUUGAAAGGCUGCUCUCAUGCUCCACAGAGAGCCUUCUCUUGCCCGCUUGGGGCCUCUUUAACAAGCUCUUGCCUUCUGAGAUAUGCAGAUAAUUUUAUAGGCAGAGCCACAGGCUAGGGUGGUCUCUCUAUGCAGUAAAUGACCUGAAUCCAGGCUCUCCUACUGUCCUGGGACCGUGCAGUUCUCAGACAAAAGGCAGUUCAACAGUGUAUCCUCAACAGAUUCAUUGUCCUGUCUCACUCUGUCAUGGACCCUGUGGACACUCACAAUGAAUUUAUAACCUGCCCUGACUCUCCCAGUCACCCGACGGGCAGAUGCAGCCUUCUGAGUCAUCACUCGCCUAGUCUGCCCAUGACUGCUACUUUAAAUUUGGUUCUCUUUCUCUGAAAAGUCUAGUUCCUUCUUUCUUGGGGUGUCUAAGAUCCCCGAUGACUACCAGGUUUUUGACCUUGAUCCACCCCUGCCCAGUAUCAGACUUCAGAAUUUCUCAGAAGUGUAUGAGGUGUCGGACUGUUACUUUUGAUAAAGGCGUGUUUUGUGUGACGAUAACACGAUUCUCAUUCAGUGCAUCAAAUAACCUGGAAGUCCCAAAGAAACAAAUUUACCAGCAUGCUGUUGAGUUUGCAUCUGAGAUCGGCCUUGGCUUUUCUAGCUGCACAGAGACUUCCUGCAGAGCUAUACGAGUUCUGACUCAUGCCAUCGGCAUGGCCCAAGCAGUCAAGUUAAGCCUUCGAUUCUAUUAUUACUAUACGAUCAGAGCACAGCAUACGUGUAUGUCGAUUCCAUGAAUUCUUAAAACAAAACCAUUUUUUUUUUUACAUUAUUGAUAGGAGAAAAACCCUCAGCAGUUUGCCUUAGCUGGAUAGCUACUCAGAACAAACCAGAUUUUAGAAUAAAGAUGGCCAUGGACUUUAUCUCCGAUGGUGGGUUGUUGGCCUAGCAUGCCCAGAGCUCUGGGUUUGACCCUAGCACUGUAUAAACUGGGCACUGUUGCAGGAAGAUCAUUCCUACAGGUUCAGGUUUAUCCGCAGAUACAUAGUGAGUUUGAGGUCAGGUCAGCCUGGAAUAGGUAAGACUGUGACUGCAAAAAAAAAAGUUUUUAAGACACAUGCUUUGAUGUAUUUUUCUUUUUAAAGCAAAGUAGGUUGACGGCGUUGCUUAGCUGGACUUCUUCAGAAACUUGUUUCAAUAAACAUGUUUUUAAAAAUCCA